rnacentral:tRNA from 1 species
UGGCUGAGUGGUAAAGCGCUCAGCUUCCGAACCUGAUGUCCAGAGUUCGAAUCUCGG